GCCAUAGCUCAGUGGCAGAGCACCUACUUUGUAUGCAGAAGGUCCCAGGUUCAGUCACUGACCGUGUCUGCA